rnacentral:rRNA from 1 species
UGGGGAAUUUUGGACAAUGGGGGCAACCCUGAUUCAGCAAUGCCGCGUGUGUGAAGAAGGCCUUCGGGUUGUAAAGCACUUUUGUCCGGAAAGAAAUUGCUCUGGCUAAUACCUGGGGUAGAUGACGGUACCGGAAGAAUAAGCACCGGCUAACUACGUGCCAGCAGCCGCGGUAAUACGUAGGGUGCGAGCGUUAAUCGGAAUUACUGGGCGUAAAGCGUGCGCAGGCGGUUUUGUAAGACAGGCGUGAAAUCCCCGGGCUCAACCUGGGAAUUGCGCUUGUGACUGCAAGGCUAGAGUGCGUCAGAGGGGGGUAGAAUUCCACGUGUAGCAGUGAAAUGCGUAGAGAUGUGGAGGAAUACCGAUGGCGAAGGCAGCCCCCUGGGACGUGACUGACGCUCAUGCACGAAAGCGUGGGGAGCAAACAGG